rnacentral:rRNA from 1 species
UACGGGGGGGGCAAGCGUUGUUCGGAAUUACUGGGCGUAAAGGGCGCGUAGGCGGUUCGCUAAGUUGGAUGUGAAAACUCUGGGCUCAACCCAGAGCCUGCAUCCAAAACUGGCGGGCUAGAGUUCUGGAGGGGGUAGCGGAAUUCCUGGUGUAGCGGUGAAAUGCGUAGAUAUCAGGAGGAACACCGGUGGCGAAGGCGGCUCUCUGGGACGGUACUGACGCUGAGACGCGAAAGCGUGGGGAGCGAACAGG